AUGAUGAAAGUUCAGCUGCUGCUGCUCCUGGCCCUGGUCGGCUCUUUCUGCGCCGUUACACGUGCAAGCCCUACAUCGAACCCCUUAGAGGCUGCUGGGACGGCAGAGGCUGUAAUAGAAGCUGCACCAGAAGCUACAGAUGCUGCACCUGAAGCUGCACCAGAAGCUACAGAUGCUGCACCUGAAGCUGUUCCAGAAGCUACAGAAGCUGGACCUGAAGCUACAGAGUUAGCAACAGCGGAAGUUCUCCCCGUCAUCACUGGACCACCUGCGACUGAUGCAGCGGUGGCGGUUGAAGAAGUGGUGACAGAGGCUGCUGAGGCUCCUCCUCCUGCUGUGACGGAACACGUGGAGGAGCCUAUGGUGGAGACGGAGGCCUCCAUCGCUGCCACCACUGAACCUGCACCAGUUAUCACUGAAGCCCCCGUCGUAGAUACUGAGGCCCCCACUGAGGCGGCUGAGGUUCUGCCAGAGGUGACGGCAGUUCCACAAGCAGAGACUGAAGCAGCUGUUACAGAUACACCAGCAGCUGGAGAUGUGGUGGUUGAAGACGAUGCUGAUGAGGGUCUGAGCUCUGGUCAGGUGGUGGGUAUUGUGAUUGGUGCCCUGCUGGCAGUGGUCAUCGUCAUCGCCAUCGUUAUCGCUGUGGUGAGGAGGAUGGGAAAAUACUCCCCCUGAGGAAAAAGUCGGCCAAGCAGCCGGAGCGUACAAAGUUCUGGAAAUUCUGAACUACUGAACUGUGACAUCGUUUCUGAUCAUUAAAACAAGUGCCAAACCAGAACUAAACUUAUCUAACCAGGACUUUGGACCAUUGCCAAACCCCCCUAAAAAAAGAACAGGGAGAGGGGGAAGGGAGGUUUGUGUGUGUGUGUGUGUGUUACUACGUGUGUGUACUGUUUGUAUGUGAGAACCUGAGGGGACAUGAGCCGACCUCCUCGCCUCCUGUCAUCCCCCCCACGACCCCCCAGGACCCCCCAGGAGCUACUGAGACAAAACGGCUAUGCCAUCCCUCUAUCCCACACAGAGAAAGAAAGGAAGGGGACGGCGAGGUGUGGCUAUGAAUUUCAUGGCUUUUUAAAUUCAUGUUCUGACAUCUGAGGAGGUUCUGUAGUUUAACGUGAGCCUCAGACACGACAGCAACAAAAAUAAAACAGGAAAUAUGGAAUGUAUAUACA
rnacentral:lncRNA from 1 species